rnacentral:rRNA from 1 species
GACGAACGCUGGCGGCGUGCUUAACACAUGCAAGUCGAGCGGUAAGGCCCUUUCGGGGGUACACGAGCGGCGAACGGGUGAGUAACACGUGGGUGACCUGCCCUCAGCUCUGGGAUAAGCCUGGGAAACCGGGUCUAAUACCGGAUAUGACUCCAUGACGCAUGUUGUGGGGUGGAAAGCCUUGUGCGGCUGAGGAUGGGCCCGCGGCCUAUCAGCUUGUUGGUGGGGUGAUGGCCUACCAAGGCGACGACGGGUAGCCGGCCUGAGAGGGCGACCGGCCACACUGGGACUGAGACGACGGCCCAGACUCCUACGGGAGGCAGCAGUGGGGAAUCUUGCGCAAUGGGCGAAAGCCUGACGCAGCGACGCCGCGUGAGGGAUGACGGCCU